UACGUAGGGUGCAAGCGUUAAUUGGAAUUACUGGGCGUAAAGCGUGCGCAGGCGGUUUUGUAAGUUUGCCGUGAAAGCCCCGGGCUCAACCUGGGAAUUGCGAUGAAGACUGCAAGGCUUGAAUCUGGCAGAGGGGGGUAGAAUUCCACGUGUAGCAGUGAAAUGCGUAGAGAUGUGGAGGAACACCGAUGGCGAAGGCAGCCCCCUGGGUCAAGAUUGACGCUCAUGCACGAAAGCGUGGGGAGCAAACAGG
rnacentral:rRNA from 1 species